GACGAACGCUGGCGGCGUGCUUAACACAUGCAAGUCGAACGGAAAGGCCCUGCUUUUGUGGGGUGCUCGAGUGGCGAACGGGUGAGUAACACGUGAGUAACCUGCCCUUGACUUUGGGAUAACUUCAGGAAACUGGGGCUAAUACCGGAUAGGAGCUCCUGCUGCAUGGUGGGGGUUGGAAAGUUUCGGCGGUUGGGGAUGGACUCGCGGCUUAUCAGCUUGUUGGUGGGGUAGUGGCUUACCAAGGCUUUGACGGGUAGCCGGCCUGAGAGGGUGACCGGCCACAUUGGGACUGAGAUACGGCCCAGACUCCUACGGGAGGCGGCAGUGGGGAAUAUUGCACAAUGGGCGGAAGCCUGAUGCAGCAACGCCGCGUGCGGGAUGACGGCCUUCGGGUUGUAAACCGCUUUCGCCUGUGACGAAGCGUGAGUGACGGUAAUGGGUAAAGAAGCACCGGCUAACUACGUGCCAGCAGCCGCGGUGAUACGUAGGGUGCGAGCGUUGUCCGGAUUUAUUGGGCGUAAAGGGCUCGUAGGUGGUUGAUCGCGUCGGAAGUGUAAUCUUGGGGCUUAACCCUGAGCGUGCUUUCGAUACGGGUUGACUUGAGGAAGGUAGGGGAGAAUGGAAUUCCUGGUGGAGCGGUGGAAUGCGCAGAUAUCAGGAGGAACACCAGUGGCGAAGGCGGUUCUCUGGGCCUUUCCUGACGCUGAGGAGCGAAAGCGUGGGGAGCGAACAGGCUUAGAUACCCUGGUAGUCCACGCUGUAAACGGUGGGUACUAGGUGUGGGGUCCAUUCCACGGGUUCCGUGCCGUAGCUAACGCUUUAGGUACCCCGCCUGGGGAGUACGGCCGCAAGGCUAAAACUCAAAGGAAUUGACGGGGCCCCGCACAAGCGGCGGAGCAUGCGGAUUAAUUCGAUGCAACGCGUAGAACCUUACCUGGGUUUGACAUGGAUCGGGAGUGCUCAGAGAUGGGUGUGCCUCUUUUGGGGUCGGUUCACAGGUGGUGCAUGGCUGUCGUCAGCUCGUGUCGUGAGAUGUUGGGUUAAGUCCCGCAACGAGCGCAACCCUUGUUCACUGUUGCCAGCACGUUAUGGUGGGGACUCAGUGGAGACCGCCGGGGUCAACUCGGAGGAAGGUGGGGAUGACGUCAAGUCAUCAUGCCCCUUAUGUCCAGGGCUUCACGCAUGCUACAAUGGCUGGUACAGAGAGUGGCGAGCCUGUGAGGGUGAGCGAAUCUCGGAAAGCCGGUCUCAGUUCGGAUUGGGGUCUGCAACUCGACCUCAUGAAGUCGGAGUCGCUAGUAAUCGCAGAUCAGCAACGCUGCGGUGAAUACGUUCCCGGGGCU
rnacentral:rRNA from 1 species